AGCCGCGCGAUAAGCACAUAGCGAACUAUUCUUUCGCCUUUUACUAAAGAAUACCGUGUGCUUGCCGCUAUACAAGCGGCAUACGCCUCUUUUUGGAGGGUGUCUUUCUUUUUUAAAGAUA
rnacentral:snRNA from 1 species